AUGCUGACAGAGGCGCGCUGCGGCUCUACAGCGACUUGCGGCCUCUUUCAAAAUAGGUGCUUCUCGACCCCUAAAGACAUUCCAGAAGCUGCUGGGUCUUAUGGCGGCGGCAUCGCCGGUGCUGGAGCUCGGGCUGCUUCGUAUGCGCCCCCUCCAAUAUUGGCUGAAACCAUGUGUUCCACCUCAUGCAUGGCGUCACGGACGCUUGAAUAUCAAGGUGAGUCAGGACUGUAUUUCGGCCCUGACCCCUUGGAGGGACAUGCAAUGGAUGGAACGGGGUGCUCCACUUGGUAUGGUUUGCAGAAGGAAAGUGAUCUCCACAGACGCGUCCAACAAGGGUUGGGGCGCGCUGUGCGAAGGGAAACCCGCUUUCGGCCAAUGGUCGAAAGAGGAGAGCAGGCUUCACAUCAACUGCCUCGAGAUGAUUGCAGUUCAACGAGCCUGCCAGAGCUUCCUGUCAGACCUAAAGAGCCACCACGUGCUGGUCAGAUCGGACAGCAUGACGGUGGUCUCUUAUAUAAAUCACCAAGGUGGGCUGUCGUCGACGCGUCUCUUCAGACUGACGUCGCGACUGCUGGAAUGGACCCAAAGCAAUUUGGGGUCCCUGAGAGCAGUGCAUCUUCCGGGCAAGCUGAACAAGGGCGCGGAUAUGCUGUCAAGAAGCGGAGUCUCCUCAGAAGAGUGGAGACUCCACCCGCAGACGGUUCAGAAGAUAUGGGAGGUCUUUGGCAGAGCGGAAAUAGACCUCUUUGCCUCAAAAGACAACUCUCAUUGCCCAAUAUAUUUUUCCAAGAUCAAGGACGCGUUGUCCCAGGACUGGCCCAACCGUCUUCUUUAUGCUUUUCCUCCGGUCCCUCUGAUUCCCCAAGUAAUCAGGCGGGUCAGGGACCAGAGAUGCAGGGUUCUGCUUGUAGCCCCAUUCUGGGAAAAUCAGCACUGGAUAGCCGACCUGUCGCAGAUGCUGACUGCAGCCCCAUGGCCCGUUCCCCUGAGACGGGACCUCCUUUCUCAGGCGGACGGGACGAUUUGGCAUCCACACCCAGAGAAGUGGUCUCUGCACAUUUGGUCGCUCGACGGGAGCCCGCGGGACUCCCUGAGCGUGUGCUAGACACAAUUUCACAGGCUAGAGCUCCGUCUACACGACGCCUCUAUGCCUCCAAAUGGUCUGUGUUCUCCACAUGGUGUUCAGACCAUGGUGAGAGCCCGACCUCUUGUGACGUAUCAGUGAUACUGUCAUUUUUGCAAGAGCUCUUGGAGAAGGGACGAUCCCCCUCCACGCUCAAGGUCUAUGUAGCAACUAUAGCGGCAUCACACGCCCUUAUAGCAGGCCAGUCGGUGGGCAGAAACGACUUAGUCGUCCGAUUUAUGAGAGGUGCCAGACGGCUUCAUCCGCCUUGCCCUCCCACCGUCCCUUCUUGGGACCUGCCCACGGUGCUGAGAGCCCUGAAGGGGGCCCCCUUUGAACCGCUACAGUCCAUAGGCCUUAAAGCCCUGUCGCUAAAGACCGCUCUGCUAUUGGCACUAGCGUCUGUUAAGCAUGUGGGUGAUUUGCAAGCACUUUCGAUGAGCCCUAAUUGCCUAGAAUUC
ensembl:lncRNA